UACUGCUUCAAAAUAGUCUAACCCAAGCCGAAAACCGACUUUUGCGCCUGGGCCACGAGGUUUCAAUCACAUUGUAUGUGCGUGCCCGCAUGUGGUAUUUUGUGGAAGAGCCACACUCAAGGGGCCAAAGAGCUGCAGUUUGCCAACCACUGGGUUAGAUAAUUGUAUGCUUUACAUAGUGUUCCCCUCAAUAUUUCCAGCACCCCAACUGGCACCACACAUAGUUAUCGCAAUGUUAUUGGCUAUAUUCUCUGUGCUGUACUUUACGCCCCUGUGACUGUUUUGUAAUUACCAAUGUGUGCUUCUUA